AGGUCCCUCGCCUCUCUCUCAAGCCUCGGUCCCCGGCGCGCGCCUCCACCGGUUCCCGAGACUUCCAGCGCGCUCCGAGGGGCCACUUUUCCUCUAGUCUCGAAAACUGCCCUCAUGGCGGAGGUGAAGGUCAAGGUGCAGCCGCCGGACGCGGAUCCGGUGGAGAUAGAAAACAGGUACUGCAAUAAAGCUAGGCUCCCGACGCUAAGCGAGCAGUCAGCUGGGUAGCGGGACCCCCUUCUCUCUCAGUCCCGCGGGGAGAGGCUGGGGUAGACUGGUCGAGCACGCGGGAGCGGGGUUGCCGGGUGUCUGGGCGACCCCCCCGCCCCGAUUAGGGAGAGUAGAACUCUUCAGAAGCUCUAGAGCAGCGGGACAGCUUGAAACGUUGUGGAACUGGGUUCUCCGGGAUUCUAUUAGAGCACUUGGAACGUGACAGCAGCCAGGGCCAGAAGAGAGACCUGCAUUUUCCCUGUAGUUCUUGGACAUGUGUUCGAAUCCAGGAUUGCCCGGUUGCCAAGGGAAGUUCUAUAAGAGAACGUUGGGGCCAAAUGAGGGUUCAGUUUGUGAUUACAAAGGACCAUUGAGCCAAGUAGGUUCAGUGAGUGCCUUAACUCCCGUAGUGCACAUGUGUUUCUAGGUUAUAAUGUAUUUAAAAGACGACUUUCUCAACAUUAUUAUUGUGGAUAAUAAGUUUAUUACACCUCCAAACAAAUUAAUCCCUCCAGUUUGUUUGGAGGGGAUAAUUCUCAAGACUCCAGUUAUGGUGAAUCACUAUGCUGCCCCCCACCCCCACCCCCGAAUAUUCUAUUUGCUUUCUGCCCACAGACCUUGGAGUCACUUUGCUGUACUUAUUCCCAUUGACAACAUUGAGCUUUUUAGCUUGACUAUCGUGUAUCUUCCUUAUUUGCCUUUAAAAGCAAGCAAACAUAAACCAUUUAUACCGUUGUUCCUAGAAUUAUAGAAUUAUGCCACCAGUUCCCUCAUGGAAUCACAGAUCAAGUAAUUCAGAACGAAAUGCCUCACAUUGAAGCCCAGCAGCGGGCAGUGGCCAUCAAUAGACUGUUAUCCAUGGUAAGGUGAAGUCAACCAAUUCAUGUAAUUUGUUGUAUAUUCUGGUUUUCAUUGCUUCCUGUCAUAUCGUUGUGAUGGCUAACCUUAUGUGUCAGCUUGGCUGGGCUCUGAGAUCCUAGAUAUCUGCCUGUUUGCUGUUUCUGGGAUGUUCUAGAAUGUGGUAUUUGAACUGAUGUGCUGACUGUAGGCAGUGAAUGGGCACCAUCCAAUUUAGUAUCAGCCUAAGCCAAAGACAUGGAGGACACAGGAACUUGCCCCAGCCCACUCUGAGCCCCAGGGCCAGCCUUCUGCCUUCACCACUCUGUCCUUAGACUUUCGGAUCCCAUCUAUACCAUUGACUUCCCAUCACCGAGGUUAAUGCAUCCGGUCUGUGCCAUUGAUCUGUGCCGCUGGCCUUCUCUAGUCUCCAGCUUGCAGGAGACGUACAAGAAUUCUCCCCCCACCUUAAUUACACGGAGCAAUAAUCGCAUAAUAAGCCUCCUUUCUAGUAAGCCAAUAUACUAAUUGUAAGGCCAAAAUUUGUGGCUUGAUUCCAAACCAAGGAAAGGAUCAGAAUGUCUGAAUAGGAAGAAAAAAAUACUCAUCUGCCUGCCAUUUGACAAGAUGAGGGAACUGCAUGCAAUUCUGUUAUAACUAAUUGUUAUUAGCUUCAGUGACACAAAAAGACACGUGGGUGUGGUCUGUUCUCAACUUGUUAUACUUCCUCCUGCUAGCUUCUAGCCAUUCCCUAUAAAAUAUUUCCACUGUGAGUUUUUUGUGAGUUAUCAAUAGCCUAUUGAUUGGGGAUCACAGGGUCACUCUGAGCUUGUCAAGAGCAGGAAGAAGUCCCACUGAGGGUCUUUAGGAUAAAGCACAGCCUCAGCUUCAGAGACAGUGCAGUAGAGUUUCAUUGAAGCCCAAGAGCCUAGAGCCCAAAUGCCUCUCUUGCAGCAUUUGAAAAAUGUCCUACCACAUACUUUAAAUCCCCUAUGUCGCUCUUCUUUCACAAACCAUUAUAUGCCUUUUUCCCAAGGACUCUUUAGUUUGGUUUUAUUAGUUAGUCUUACACUAGGCCUCUUCUGAAUUACUGUGUUUUUGUUUGUUUGUUUGUUUUGUUUUUUAAACUUCUAGCCUUGUGUUAUACUUCAAGGCUCUAGAUGCAGAGAUUAUAGGGAUAGUCGAAUCUUUUAUUACACCUUUGUCUUUACCUUCGUGGCUCAGAAUUGGCAAACUUCUCUAUGAAGUAGUAAAUAAAAUAACUUUUGUGGCCCAUCUAGUUUCUGUCACAACUGUAUCAUUUGUCAUUUUAACAAGAAGCAGUCAUGAGCCAUGAACAAUGAAGCAUAAAUAGAUAGAUGUGGCUUUUUUUCUGACGAAAUUUUAUUAAUAAAAAAGCAAACAGUGGGCCAGUGACUUAUCUUUUCACCCAAAGAAGAGAAGUUGGAUUUCUGGGCUUCCUUUUUCUGUGUAGAAACACUCCUUGCUAUUCUUCAGGACUCAGCUCUGCUGCUAUCUCCAGGAAGAGACCUGGCGCCCCCAGGUUGGGCCACAGUCCCUUUUCUGAGUGUGCAUGCACCUUGUUUCUCGCUUAGUGCCAGCCAGCCAGUGCUGUCGUCACCUGUGCUUCCCCUUGAGAGUUUGGAGUGGAGCUCAGAGGUAGAAUAUUCACUUAGCUCACACGGUAUGCUCAGCCCCCUGUUCUGUAAUUCGACAACAGAUUGUCCAUUUAAACAGCUAUCCUGGACUGGAGGGAUGGCUCAGUGGUUAAGAGCACUUGCUGCUUGGGUUCAAUUCCAGUCAGGGUGGCUCACAUCUGGAAUUCCAAUUCUGACUCUGGACUGGCCUCCCCAUGCACCUGCUCUUGUAGACAUACAAUUAAAAAUAAAAAUAAUU
rnacentral:lncRNA from 1 species